rnacentral:rRNA from 1 species
GACGAACGCUGGCGGCGUGCUUAACACAUGCAAGUCGAACGGUGACGAAUGGAGCUUGCUCUGUUCUGAUCAGUGGCGAACGGGUGAGUAACACGUGAGUAACCUGCCCCUGACUCUGGAAUAACUUCGGGAAACCGAAGCUAAUACCGGAUAUGACACAGAGCCGCAUGGUUUCUGUGUGGAAAGUUUUUCGGUUGGGGAUGGACUCGCGGCCUAUCAGCUUGUUGGUGAGGUAAUGGCUCACCAAGGCGACGACGGGUAGCCGGCCUGAGAGGGUGUACGGCCACGACUGGGACUGAGAUACGGCCCAGACUCCUACGGGAGGCAGCAGUCGGGAGUCUUGCACAAUGGGGGAAACCCUGAUGCAGCGACGUCGCGUGUGGGAUGACGUAUUUCGGUAUGUAAACCACUUUUGAAUGGGACGAAGACAGUGACGGUACCAUUACGAAUAAAGCCCCGGCUAACUACGUGCCAAGCAGCCGCGGUAAGAUCACGUGUA